UAAUACAGAGGGGGCAAGCGUUGUUCGGAAUUACUGGGCGUAAAGGGCGCGUAGGCGGCCCGCUAAGUCGAACGUGAAAUCCCCGAGCUCAACUCGGGAACUGCGUCCGAUACUGGUGGGCUUGAAUCCGGGAGAGGGAUGCGGAAUUCCAGGUGUAGCGGUGAAAUGCGUAGAUAUCUGGAGGAACACCGGUGGCGAAGGCGGCAUCCUGGACCGGCAUUGACGCUGAGGCGCGAAAGCUAGGGGAGCAAACGGGAUUAGAUACCCCGGUAGUCCUAGCCCUAAACGAUGAAUGCUUGGUGUGGCGGGUAUCGAUCCCUGCCGUGCCGAAGCUAACGCAUUAAGCAUUCCGCCUGGGGAGUACGGUCGCAAGGCU
rnacentral:rRNA from 1 species